UUGCACUGUUCGUAACCUGUUACUUGUCGUUUGUCUUGCAUCGGGUUCCAUUCCAGUGCUAAAUUAAUCCCAACAAAUUAUGGGGCAGGUGCUCAUUCUGCUUCUGACCUCUUCAGAGUUGGGAACAUAU